AUAUUGUUUAAGCUUGUAAUGGCAAUUCUGAGAAAUGAAUCAUCAGAGGCCUUGAGGAGACGCCAAUAUGCCUUGCUGCUUAGCUAUUUUCAGUAUUGUCAGCAUACACUUGAUCCAGAUGUUCCAACAACAGUUAUGCAGUUCUUAUUGCUUACUGAGCAAGAUAGUGAAGAUCUGGACCUCCGUAAGAUUAACAGAGAACAGGCUGAACUAGCUCAUGCAAUUUUUUCCAUAUUGAGAAAAGAAGCUCAGGCAAUCUUAGAUUUGGUAAUAAAGGAUGCAACUCAAGGUAGUGAACCUGGGAAGACAAUAGCACUCUAUGUUCUGGAUUCACUGAUUUGUAUUGAUCACGAGAGAUAUUUCUUUAGCCAACUUCAAAGUAGGGGAUUUUUGCGGUCUUGCCUGAUGAGCAUCAGCAAUGUUUCCUAUCAGGAUUUUAGGCAUUCCCUAGACUCUUUGCAACGAGCAUGCACUGUUGAGGCUGAACUGGCAUUACUGCUUAGAAUUAGCCAUAAGUAUGGAAAAUCUGGGGCACAAGUUUUAUUUUCAAUGGGUGUUUUGGAGCAUAUUGCCUCAUGCAGGGCAGUUAAUUUGCAGGGAAGUUUGAGACGGCUUGAUCCAAAGCUUCAACGAGAUGCGGCUGUGGAUAUUGACAAACAACGGAUGAUCACAACUCCAAUACUGAGAUUGGUGUUUUCAUUGACUUCAUUGGUUGAUACAUCUGAUAUUUUUGAGGUGAAGAACAAAAUUGUUCGUGAAGUUAUAGAUUUUGUCAAAGG
rnacentral:misc_RNA from 1 species